rnacentral:rRNA from 1 species
AGGACGACGCUGGCGGCGUGCUUAAAACAUGCAAGUCGAACGGACUUCUCAUGAAGCUUGCGAUUGAGAAGUUAGUGGCGGACGGUGAGUAACGCGUGGGCAACCUGCCCCUGAGCCCGGGAUAACAGUUCGAAAGGACUGCUAAGACCGGAUAUACUUGCGGUGAAGCAUUUCACUGCAAGGAAAGGGAACGCUCAGGGAUGGGCCCGCGUCCCAUUAGCUAGUUGGUGAGGUAACGGCCCACCAAGGCGACGAUGGGUAGCCGGCCUGAGAGGGUGAACGGCCACACUGGGACUGAGACACGGCCCAGACUCCUACGGGAGGCAGCAGUUGGGAAUCUUCGGCAAUGGGCGCAAGCCUGACCGAGCAACGCCGCGUGAGUGAUGAAGGUUUUCGGAUUGUAAAGCUCUGUCUUCCGGGACGAUAAUGACGGUACCGGAGGAGGAAGCCACGGCUAACUACGUG